ACCAUUGAUUCCCGUACGAUCACAGAAGUUAAGCAACGUUGAUCAUAGUCAGUACCUACAUGGGUGACUGCUUGGGAAUACCAGCUGCUGCAAG